rfam:Brenneria sp. EniD312 chromosome, whole genome shotgun sequence.
GGACCCGCCGCGUCGUCAGUUAGUUCAAUGAUAACCCAUUACGACCGGGAAGGAGGUGCGAAUCCUCCGCAGCCCCCGCUGCUGUAAUGCCGACAAACUCGUUAAUACCACUGAUCGACCGAUCGGGAAGGAACGGGGGAGGAUGACGCAGAGCCAGAAGACCGACCUGACGAUAACGCCCGCA